rnacentral:rRNA from 2 species
UGAGGAAUAUUGGUCAAUGGACGAGGGUCUGAACCAGCCAAGUAGCGUGAAGGAUGACUGCCCUAUGGGUUGUAAACUUCUUUUAUACGGGAAUAAAGUGAGGCACGUGUGCCUUUUUGUAUGUACCGUAUGAAUAAGGAUCGGCUAACUCCGUGCCAGCAGCCGCGGUAAUACGGAGGAUCCGAGCGUUAUCCGGAUUUAUUGGGUUUAAAGGGAGCGUAGGCGGACGCUUAAGUCAGUUGUGAAAGUUUGCGGCUCAACCGUAAAAUUGCAGUUGAUACUGGGUGUCUUGAGUACAGUAGAGGCAGGCGGAAUUCGUGGUGUAGCGGUGAAAUGCUUAGAUAUCACGAAGAACUCCGAUUGCGAAGGCAGCUUGCUGGACUGUAACUGACGCUGAUGCUCGAAAGUGUGGGUAUCAAACAGGAUUAGAUACCCUGGUAGUCCACACAGUAAACGAUGAAUACUCGCUGUUUGCGAUAUACAGUAAGCGGCCAAGCGAAAGCGUUAAGUAUUCCACCUGGGGAGUACGCCGGCAACGGUGAAACUCAAAGGAAUUGACGGGGGCCCGCACAAGCGGAGGAACAUGUGGCUUAAUUCGAUGAUACGCGAGGAACCUUACCCGGGCUUGAAUUGCAACUGAAUGAUGUGGAGACAUGUCAGCCGCAAGGCAGUUGUGAAGGUGCUGCAUGGUUGUCGUCAGCUCGUGCCGUGAGGUGUCGGCUUAAGUGCCAUAACGAGCGCAACCCUUAUCGAUAGUUACCAUCAGGUUAUGCUGGGGACUCUGUCGAGACUGCCGUCGUAAGAUGUGAGGAAGGUGGGGAUGACGUCAAAUCAGCACGGCCCUUACGUCCGGGGCUACACACGUGUUACAAUGGGGGGUACAGAAGGCAGCUACACGGCGACGUGAUGCUAAUCCCUAAAGCCUCUCUCAGUUCGGAUUGGAGUCUGCAACCCGACUCCAUGAAGCUGGAUUCGCUAGUAAUCGCGCAUCAGCCACGGCGCGGUGAAUACGUUCCC